rnacentral:rRNA from 4 species
CUGUAAGCCUGCGAAGGUGGCCUGUGAGGGUUGCUGGAGGUAUCAGAAGUGCGAAUGCUGACAUAAGUAACGAUAAAGCGGGUGAAAAGCCCGCUCGCCGGAAGACCAAGGGUUCCUGUCCAACGUUAAUCGGGGCAGGGUGAGUCGACCCCUAAGGCGAGGCCGAAAGGCGUAGUCGAUGGGAAACGGGUUAAUAUUCCCGUACUUGGUGUUACUGCGAAGGGGGGACGGAGAAGGCUAUGUUGGCCGGGCGACGGUU